GAUGAACGCUGGCGGCGUGCCUAAUACAUGCAAGUCGAGCGAACAGAUAAGGAGCUUGCUCCUUUGACGUUAGCGGCGGACGGGUGAGUAACACGUGGAUAACCUACCUAUAAGACUGGGAUAACUUCGGGAAACCGGAGCUAAUACCGGAUAACAUAUUGAACCGCAUGGUUCAAUAGUGAAAGGCGGCUUUGCUGUCACUUAUAGAUGGAUCCGCGCCGUAUUAGCUAGUUGGUAAGGUAACGGCUUACCAAGGCAACGAUACGUAGCCGACCUGAGAGGGUGAUCGGCCACACUGGAACUGAGACACGGUCCAGACUCCUACGGGAGGCAGCAGUAGGGAAUCUUCCGCAAUGGGCGAAAGCCUGACGGAGCAACGCCGCGUGAGUGAUAAAGGUCUUCGGAUCGUAAAACUCUGUUAUCAGGGAAGAACAAAUGUGUAAGUAACUGUGCACAUCUUGACGGUACCUGAUCAGAAAGCCACGGCUAACUACGUG
rnacentral:rRNA from 1 species